AUUGAACGCUGGCGGCAGGCCUAACACAUGCAAGUCGAGCGGAUGAAGGGAGCUUGCUCCUGGAAUCAGCGGCGGACGGGUGAGUAAUGCCUAGGAAUCUGCCUGGUAGUGGGGGAUAACGUCCGGAAACGGGCGCUAAUACCGCAUACGUCCUGAGGGAGAAAGUGGGGGAUCUUCGGACCUCACGCUAUCAGAUGAGCCUAGGUCGGAUUAGCUAGUUGGUGGGGUAAAGGCCUACCAAGGCGACGAUCCGUAACUGGUCUGAGAGGAUGAUCAGUCACACUGGAACUGAGACACGGUCCAGACUCCUACGGGAGGCAGAAGUGGGGAAUAUUGGACAAUGGGCGAAAGCCUGAUCCAGCACUGCCGCGUGUGUGAAGAAGGUCUUCGGAUUUUAAAGCACUUUAAGUUGGGAGGAAGGGCAGUAAGUUAAUACCUUGCUGUUUUGACGUUACCAAAAGAAUAAGCACCGGCUAACUUCGUG
rnacentral:rRNA from 1 species